rnacentral:rRNA from 1 species
UACGUAGGGUGCAAGCGUUAAUCGGAGUUACUGGGCGUAAAGCGUGCGCAGGCGGUUUUGUAAGUUUGUCGUGAAAUCCCCGGGCUCAACCUGGGAAUUGCGAUGAAGACUGCAAGGCUAGAAUCUGGCAGAGGGGGGUAGAAUUCCACGUGUGAGCAGUGAAAUGCGUAGAGAUGUGGAGGAACACCGAUGGCGAAGGCAGCCCCCUGGGUCAAGAUUGACGCUCAUGCACGAAAGCGUGGGGAGCAAACAGG